rnacentral:rRNA from 1 species
UGUUUUGGUGUUUAAAGAGCAAUGGAACCACAUUGAACCAUAUCGAACUCAAUAGUGAAACAUUACUACAGUGAAAAUACUUAAGGGGGGACCUUUUGGGAAGAUAACUUAUGCCAAGAC